AGCUUUUGCAAGGGGCGUGUUAGGUUUCUUGCAACUUGCACCUGAGCAUCCAGAGUGCUCUGCAAAUCCCAGCCCCAAACUUCUGCUUCCACAGAUCUCCUGGAGAGCGUGGCGCACUCAACUUUCUGGACAUUGCUGCAAAAACCUAGCAUGCAGCCUCUGACUUCAUCAUUUCAUCUUAAUUACGGUCCGAUUCGCGGACUUUGGGUGGGAACAGACCAGAGCUAGAGAGACUCAUCCAUUAGUUACUAACUACCCAGAGGGGAGAGCAGUGCUGGCAGUCCAAAUUGCAAGGUGCGCUGCCUUCAGCGUGCGGCGUCUUCGCCCUGGAGAAGCAUUACGCUGGCCCGCCUGCCUCCAGGGCCACACGGAAACGUGUUCUGCAAACUUUCUCCAAGGGCUCGGGGGCUAGAUUGUGUCUCGCUCCGCUGCCUCUCCCCCUGCCUCAAUUUCGACUCCUGCCAGACAGCUCAGCCCCUCCCUCUGGCAGUCACCCCGCCCGGAGUGGGAGUGGUCAACGAAGCUGCAAAAUGGAUCGCAAGUCCCCACACACGUCCGACCCCUCCCCGCGCCCUGACCACGAACGCAUCCCUGACUUAACCGCCACACUCGGGCCGUGAGCGCCUGCCAGCAGGGCCUUCCGCCACACACACACACACACACACCGCAAGCAGCGGCGACCAGGGCAGGAGCCCACUCCCCGCCACCUGCAGGCGUCGGACCCGAAGUCCACGAGCCGGAACUCAGAGCAGGAGCCGAAGGACCCCAGCGCAGAAUCCGUGGAGGCGCACGGCUUCAUCCACCGCGCUCCCAGAUGGGGUCCCAGCCCAGAUCCGGCCACGAAGACACAGGCAACCCCGGCCUGGGUUUCCUGUUCCAUGAGCUCCAGGAAGGCGACAAUGCGAAGGCUGUAGGGACUUUGGUGACUGAAGCUGGAGGAGACGAGGAGAAGAAAAUACGGUCCAAACCCGAGCAGGGAGCUGGAGCAGAAGAAGAAAGUCACUUCUGUGCGGGAGCUGCCGACCCCACGAUCAAGGAUAACCAGAAGCGCGGCGGUGGCGACCAGGAGCCCUCGCAGCAGCAGCCUGAGGCUUCCAGCCCAGGACUCCUCCGCGGAGGAGCCACAACCCCAAUAUUAGCGGCGUCUCUUCAGCCCCAGUGCGUUCAGCAGGUUGCACCUGAAGGAGCUAGACAGCAUUUUCCCACGCUCUGAAUAUCUCGACGUGUUCGCUCGAAAGCAGCUUGCAAUCUGCAUGGAUGUGAGUGAAGCCGAAGUGGAAGCCAGUAAGCCUGAUGAAAGCAAUUGGUCAGAGUAGCCACUCUCUGAAACCUGCCUCAGUCCUUGAAUACCUUUGUCCUACACAUUCUCCAAUUGGCCUGUUUUUGUUGCCUUUUCUAUGUUUGCCAAGUGAGUUUUGAACUUUAGCGGGGGAAUAAUGGGAUACAUAAACCUUAGCCUAUGGAAAUUUCCCAUUACCAGAGGGAAUAUGCUUUCUAAUGCGAAACAGAACUAAACUGUUACUUCUAUUUCCUGUACAAGGUUAAGUGUAAAUAAAGUUCCAUUCCUUCUAACAAUGGUAUCCUUUAGAGAACACUUCUGUGUGGAGUUAUGUUGGGACUGAGUCUGACUUGAGGAGUUUGCAAAUUAAUGCACCAAGGACCCAUUAUAUGAGUAAUUAAUGUAUGUUUAGUUUCACUGAGACUUAUGGGGAGGACAUAGCUUAAAAGUCCAAGUGCCUGGUAGUCCUGCUGUUGUUUUUAAGGGUCUGAUGAAGCCAUGUAGAAAGUGGCAGCCCGCAAUUUUGAUUUUCUCCAAUACUUUUAUUUGUAAGCCGGAAUACACUGCUAAUAUACUUGCAUUACACUGGGGGUGUGGGGGGGCAGGUUUGCAAACAGGAAAUUUGUUUAAAAAUUGGAAUAAAAAAGAACAAUUUUGAAAAAGUUUUCACUUAACUAAGAAGGGUGAAAAGGUUAAAGAAAAAUUGCAUACACUCAAAUAUAUACCUUGAAGGUAUGGCACAAAUGGAGCUCUAUGAGGGAAUAUUCUCUUUAGGAAUUUCUGACAACUAAGAAGUUUUUUUUAUGUUACUGUUUUAAACUGGUGGGUUUUAUGUAAUUUGUUUGGUGGUGGGGUGGGGCACGCUCAAUUUAGACCAGGUUCUUACCUGUGCUAAUUUGAAAUGGUUUUUCAUUUUCCCAGGCAGUGGUGAUUAAUUUGUAAGUCAUGAGAUCAAGAAAUUACUAAGAUUCCUUCAGUAUUAUUGACUGAGUAUAUUUUCAAAACAAAGAGAAAAUCCAGGAUUAGGUUAUGAGCAGUGCUGUGCAGUUCAUGUGAGUGCAGUGAUGGGCCCCCCAUGACUAAGCCUUUUUUUUCAGACCAUCUUUUUCACUCUCAAGAGUUUUCAGAGGAUGAAGUCUGGCCCAGUGGCUCACGCCUGUAAUCCCAGCAAUUUGGGAGGCCAAGGCAGGCAGAUCACGCGAGGUCAGGAGUUCGAGACCAGCCUGGCCAACAUGGUGAAACCCCAUGGUGAAAAUACAAAAAUUACCUGGACUUGGUAGCGCACCACUGUAGUCCCACCUACUAGGUGUAGCAUGAGGCAGGUGGAUCGCUUGAACCUGACAGGCAGAGGUUGCAGUGAGCCAAGAUCGUGCCACUGCACUCUAAAUCUGGGUGACAGAGCAAGACCCUGUCUCAAAAAAAAAAAAAAAAAAAAAAAAAUUUCAGAGGAUGAAUGGCCCCUUAGGCAUCCUUUACGAAACCUGAUUAAAGAUCCAGCCUGCUCCUAUUGAUGUAGUUACUUCAGACUGAAGAUGGGCUUUUCAAACGGGGUUGCAGUGUGUAAAGAUCCGGCCAUUGCACUCCAGCCUGGGUGACAGAGUGAGACUCCGUCUCAAAAACCACAACAAAAAAGAAACUUUAGAAAGCAAAACCCCCAAUUUUUUUGAUUACUAUAGAAUGCAGAAGCUCCUGGACUCUUCCCGAGAUUGUGUUCAUAACUUUUCAGCUGAAACUAACAUCUGUGAAGACCAUCUAUCUUGGGUGAACCUAUUUUCUGGUAACCAGUGUUAAAUAUUUUUUAAUAAAUAAAAAUUUUAAACUUGUAUUAG
rnacentral:lncRNA from 1 species